GAUCUUCAGUCUUCGUGGCAGCAGGCAGAUUCCUAGUUGCAGCGGGUGGGAUCUAGUUCCCCGACGAGGGAUCGAACCCAGGCCCCCUGCAUUGGGAGCUCGGAAUCUUAGCCAACAGGGAGGUCUCUACUUUUCCUACUUUUCUGUAUCGUUUGAAUAAUAGAUCAUCUUUGCUUUUGUGAUAAAAUAUACAAAAUAUAAACUUUUACGGUUUUAGACAUUUUGAAGUGUACGGUCUCAGUACAUCAGCUUUGCUUUGCCACCAUCAACACGGUCCAUCUCCAGAACACUUUCCACCUUGCCGAACUCAAACUCUGCACCUUUAAAGCACAAAGCCUGCUGCCUUCUCCCCUUGACCUGUCAACCUCUACUCUAACUUCUGCCCUGAAGAUUUUGACUAUUCUAGGAACCUCACAUGCACGGACUCAUACAGAAUUUGUCCUUUUGCAGCCGGCUUAUUCACUUAGCAUAGUGUCCUCAAGGUUCAUCCAUGCUGUAGCGUAGGUCAGUAUUUCAUCCCCUUUUAAGGCGGAAUAACAGUCAAUAGAUUACUGUUGCAAAUUGGAAAAAUAAAGAUUGACGCAAAACAACAAUAAGAAAAAGAAUGACUGUAUGAAAGACUGAAGAAGGGAUGGGAGGUGAAUAUGCUGGGGGCCUCAGACGGAGGGGGCAGCAGGGUGAUAAACUGGUGAAUCAGCCCGGGGCGUCCUUUCUCCCAGGAGGAGGGAGUCGGGCCCCGCUGUCCCCUGGCCGAGAGGACAAUGAAGACACUCAGCCCGCCAGCCAAGGACUGUGACUCACAGGCCGUGAGGCCGGACAGGGCCCCCGAGCGUGGCCCCCAGAUGCCUGGGGCCAUUCAACCUGGGCAGUGAGCAGCUCGGAGUUCCCGGUCCCCUUCUGAUACCGGCCCUGCUCCCGCUCUCUGGGACAGCCCAGUUGGCCUGCAUCAGGGUCUUUCCCAAGGAGUCAGUUCAUCGCAUCAAGCGGCCAAAGUACUGGAGUUUCAGCUUCAGCAUCAUUUCCUCCAAAGAAAUCCCAGGGCUGAUCUCCUUCAGAAUGGACUGGUUGGAUCUCCUUGCAGUCCAAGGGACUCUCAAGAGUCUUCUCUAACACCAC
ensembl:lncRNA